UCCCAACACCCGAUCCCAUUCCGAACUCGGCCGUGAAACGCCUCAGCGCCGAUGGUACUGCGUCUUAAGACGUGGGAGAGUAGGUCGCCGCCAGGU
rnacentral:rRNA from 1 species